CAUCAAUGUUUUUAUUAAUGCCUUAGGCUUGGCAUUCGUAAAGAAGAGAUGCCAAAAUACGAAGAACAGUUGGAGCUGAAGAUUGCAAAGGCACAGUUAGAAGAACUGAAAAAGGAUGCUCUUGAAGCUAUGGAAACUCAGAAGAAGAGGGAGGAGUUCAAGGAUGAGGAGAUGCCCACUGUGAAGUCUUUGGACAUCAGAAACUUCAUUUAGAAAAUGACAUUUGUUAUUUUCCUUUUGCACCUUGUUGAUCUUGUGCUACCCUUGAACAUAAAUUUUAAUAUCCCGAAAAAUGUAGUUGUACCAGACACAUCCAAGAGGCUGCCUUCUGAAUAAUAAGAGUUCUGAACCAAGAAAUUAGCUUUUGAUAUAAUUUUGGGGCCUGAGCAUCUUUAUCUCUGCUCCUUAUUUUGCAACUGAUCUUGGUCAGUUGUUUUUUGCACUCUGUACUUAAGAUACAUGAUUGUAUCAAAUGUUUUAAUUUU